UACAGAGGGUCCAAGCGUUGAUCGGAAUCACUGGGCUGAAAGGGUGCGUAGGCGGCGCUGCAAGUGUCUUGUGAAAUCCCUCGGCUCAACCGGGGAAUUGCUCGGCAGACUGCAGCGCUUGAGCUCUACAGAGGUCGGCGGAACGAUAGGUGGAGCGGUGAAAUGCGUAGAUAUCUAUCGGAACGCCGAAGGUGAAGGCAGGCGCCUGGGUCGACGCUGACGCUGAGGCACGAAAUCGUGGUGUGCAUACGGG
rnacentral:rRNA from 1 species